rnacentral:rRNA from 1 species
GACGGGGGGGGCAAGCGUUGUUCGGAAUUACUGGGCGUAAAGGGCUCGUAGGCGGUCAACUAAGUCAGACGUGAAAUCCCUCGGCUUAACCGGGGAACUGCGUCUGAUACUGGAUGGCUUGAGUUUGGGAGAGGGAUGCGGAAUUCCAGGUGUAGCGGUGAAAUGCGUAGAUAUCUGGAGGAACCCCGGUGGCGAAGGGGGCAUCCUGGACCAACACUGACGCUUAGUGAGCGAAAGCCAGGGGAGCAAACAGG